rnacentral:rRNA from 3 species
ACCUUCGGGCCUCUUGCCAUCAGAUGUGCCCAGAUGGGAUUAGCUUGUUGGUGAGGUAACGGCUCACCAAGGCGACGAUCCCUAGCUGGUCUGAGAGGAUGACCAGCCACACUGGAACUGAGACACGGUCCAGACUCCUACGGGAGGCAGCAGUGGGGAAUAUUGCACAAUGGGCGCAAGCCUGAUGCAGCCAUGCCGCGUGUAUGAAGAAGGCCUUCGGGUUGUAAAGUACUUUCAGCGGGGAGGAAGGUGUUGUGGUUAAUAACCGCAGCAAUUGACGUUACCCGCAGAAGAAGCACCGGCUAACUCCGUGCCAGCAGCCGCGGUAAUACGGAGGGUGCAAGCGUUAAUCGGAAUUACUGGGCGUAAAGCGCACGCAGGCGGUCUGUCAAGUCGGAUGUGAAAUCCCCGGGCUCAACCUGGGAACUGCAUUCGAAACUGGCAGG